ensembl:lncRNA
GACCGACUGAAAGGGAACCAAUUUAAAUAUUAAAUAAGGAUCUCAGGAGGUAUGUCCUCUACAUAUUUUAUGCCAAAGGGGUUCGCAAAAAAGUCCAUUGGUGAUAUGGGGGUUGUCUGUGUCAUGCAUGCCGGGAGUCGAUAGAACAUUCAUAAUUCACUAUAUCUGACCUGAAGUGCUGGGAGGUGUGCCUCAACAUGCUUUCUUUAUUUAAUCAUUAUAAUUAACAAUCCAAUUCUAACCUAACAUUUAACUCACAAGUCAACGCUGACAAACUAUACCCUGUACGUAAAAGAUUUAGAUUUUUGAAUGACCAACACAAGACAUGAAAAAUAACUAAAUACAGCAACAACAUUCAGUUCUCAGAAAUCAGUGUCAUUUAUUCAGCAUCAAUUUGAAUUCAGAUUCCUGUGCUUUAUGACAUGUUGUUCAUUAACACUUUAUAACAGAGUUCAAUACAGUUAGCUAACAUGAACUACACUAACAAUGCAUUUACAGCAUUUAUUAAUCUAGUCUACAUGUACUGAUACUAUAUAAGCAUUUAAGAUACAUGAAUUCAUACUAAACAGUUAUAAUAACGUUUUUGUGAUUUCACAUUACACUAGAUAAAUAAAUACUGUAAAAAUUGUUGUGAUAAUGCAUUAACUAAUGUUUCCUUAUUGAAUGUUUUUGUAAAGUGUUAUCAAAAAUCAGAUAAUGUUACACAUAUAUUUUUAGAGAGAUUUUUCUUUAAAGAGAAAGUGAACAAUUGCAGACAACGCCUCAGGCCCUGAGCACCCUACACCCAAACCAUCAAGCUGACUGAAUUUAAAAUAUAUAAACAGUCCUUAAAACCAUUGGGUGAAACAAACAAAAACUAUUUACAAUACAAUGAGCAAUAUGGAAGAAACAGAUUAACACUUUAUUGUAAGGUAAAUUUAACAAUAACAAUAAAAAUUAAUUAAAGCCACUCUUCAUAAAACUUUCCAACAGUGGAAAAAACCCCAGGUGAAGAAAGGCCCUUUAAAGCGAUAGUUCACCUAAAAAUGAAAAUUUGAUGUUUAUCUGCUUACCCCCAGGACAUCCAAGUUGUAGGUAACUUUGUUUCUUCAGUAGAACACAAACUGAGAUUUUUAACUCAAACAGUUGCAGUCUGUUAGUCAUAUAUUGCAAGUGGAUGGAAAACUCGGCUAAAACAUAAAAAAAAAAAAAAAAAAAACAUAAACAAACCCAAAUUAAACCCUGCGGCUCAUGACGAUACAUUGAUGUGUAAAGACACAAAACGAUUGGUCUGUGCAAGAAACUGAACAGUAUUUAUAGUUUUUUUUAUUUAUUUAUUUUUUUUUUACCUCUGAUGCACUAAAAUGCCUGAACUGUCUGAAAUGUAUCUACAGUAUCUCUCAAAUGGACCAUUGCCACUCCCAAUUGAGAUUGUAUAUAGAGUGUCAAUGGUCCAUUUGAGAGAUAGGUGGCGGUAAUGCACUUAUAAGUCUGUGAUCCACCGUAAAGCAAGCAAGCAAGAAGAAGAUGCCUCAUGCGCAGGCUGUGUCGAGGACACGCAGUACAGUUCAGGCAAUGAAGUGCAUCAGAAGUAAAAAACGAUAUAAAUUCUGUUCAGUUUCUUGCACAGACCAAUCAUUUUGUGUCUUUACACAUCAAUGUAUUGUCACGAGCCACAGGGUUUAAUUUGGUUUUGUUUGUGUAUGUUUUUUAUUUUGCUUUAUUGUAUGUCUUAGCCGUGAUUCCCAUCCACUUGCAUUAUAUGACUAACAGACUGCAACAGUUUGAGUUACAGUAAAUAUCUCUGUUUGUAUUCUACUGAAGAAACAAAGUCACCUACAUCUUGGAUGCCCUGGGGGCCAAUAGGAGAAGUCCAGCAAACAGGACACCGAUGGCUGCUGGACCCAGUCUUGAGGAAAAAGGAAGACGGCCACGGCACGUGUUGAUUCCCGUACACUCACACACAACCACCUGAAGAACGUCUUCUCUUUGCAGCCCCUGCUGAUCCUGUAUCUUCAAAGGAAUGGAGUAGUUGCCAUAUGGCAGACUCGUCAAACUUAUCAGAGAGGUGUUUGUUCCUGCGGUACAAAGCCAGCAAAACAGGGUUAACUAAAACCGAAACAAAA